rnacentral:rRNA from 1 species
UACGAAGGAUGCAAGCGUUAUCCGGAUUUAUUGGGUUUAAAGGGAGCGUAGGCGGUCUUAUAAGUCAGUGGUGAAAUCUCGUUGCUUAACAACGACCGUGCCAUUGAUACUGUAGGACUUGAGUACAGUUGCCGUUGGCGGGAAUGUGUCAUGUAGCGGUGAAAUGCAUAGAUAUGACACAGAACACCGAUUGCGAAGGCAGCUGACGAAACUGUAACUGACGCUGAGGCUCGAAAGCGUGGGGAUCAAACAGG